GACGAACGCUGGCGGCGUGCUUAACACAUGCAAGUCGAACGGUGAUGCUCCAGCUUGCUGGAGUGGAUCAGUGGCGAACGGGUGAGUAACACGUGAGCAACCUGCCCCAGACUCUGGAAUAAGCGCUGGAAACGGCGUCUAAUACUGGAUACGAAACUGGCCCGCAUGGGCAUGGUUUGGAAAGUUUUUCGGUUUGGGAUGGGCUCGCGGCCUAUCAGCUUGUUGGUGAGGUAAUGGCUCACCAAGGCGACGACGGGUAGCCGGCCUGAGAGGGCGACCGGCCACACUGGGAAUGAGAAACGGCCCAGACUCCUACGGGAGGCAGCAGUGGGGAAUAUUGCACAAUGGGCGAAAGCCUGAUGCAGCAACGCCGCGUAAGGGAUGACGGCCUUCGGGUUGUAAACCUCUUUCAGCAGGGAAGAAGCGAAAGUGACGGUACAUGCAGAAGAAGCACCGGCUAACUACGUG
rnacentral:rRNA from 1 species